GGGAAUGUGGCUCAGUGGUAGAGUGCUUGCCUAGCAUGCAUGAAUCCAUUCCUC
rnacentral:tRNA from 1 species